GGGAGGGGAUUAGUGGCGAACGGGUGAGUAACACGUGGGCAAUCUGCCCUGCACUCUGGGACAAGCCCUGGAAACGGGGUCUAAUACCGGAUACGAGUUUCACAGGCAUCUGUGAUUCUGGAAAGCUCCGGCGGUGCAGGAUGAGCCCGCGGCCUAUCAGCUUGUUGGUGAGGUAACGGCUCACCAAGGCGACGACGGGUAGCCGGCCUGAGAGGGCGACCGGCCACACUGGGACUGAGACACGGCCCAGACUCCUACGGGAGGCAGCAGUGGGGAAUAUUGCACAAUGGGCGCAAGCCUGAUGCAGCGACGCCGCGUGAGGGAUGACGGCCUUCGGGUUGUAAACCUCUUUCAGCAGGGAAGAAGCGAAAGUGACGGUACCUGCAGAAGAAGCGCCGGCUAACUACGUGCCAGCAGCCGCGGUAAUACGUAGGGCGCAAGCGUUGUCCGGAAUUAUUGGGCGUAAAGAGCUCGUAGGCGGCUUGUCGCGUCGGAUGUGAAAGCCCGGGGCUUAACCCCGGGUCUGCAUUCGAUACGGGCAGGCUAGAGUUCGGUAGGGGAGAUCGGAAUUCCUGGUGUAGCGGUGAAAUGCGCAGAUAUCAGGAGGAACACCGGUGGCGAAGGCGGAUCUCUGGGCCGAUACUGACGCUGAGGAGCGAAAGCGUGGGGAGCGAACAGGAUUAGAUACCCUGGUAGUCC
rnacentral:rRNA from 1 species